UACGGAGGAUCCGAGCGUUGUCCGGAAUUACUGGGCGUAAAGGGUGCGUAGGUGGAUUAUUAAGUCAGAUGUGAAACUCCCGGGCUUAACCUGGGAACUGCAUUUGAAACUGGUAGUCUAGAGUGCAGGAGAGGAAAGCGGAAUUCCUAGUGUAGCGGUGAAAUGCGUAGAUAUUAGGAAGAACACCAGUGGCGAAGCCGGCUUUCUGGACUGUAACUGACACUGAGGCACGAAAGCGUGGGGAGCAAACAGG
rnacentral:rRNA from 1 species